CAGUGAUGAAUUUGCCUAUGAAAGUGUUGCAGGUGAUGAGAUUGAGACAUAAAACAACUUGGACAAUGCCAUAUACCAAGAAAUUCAGAUGCAGCAAAUCAAGGCCCAGAUGCAGAAGUUGUGUAUGCCAAAUCAUGGAUGUCAUCAAUACAUGUCUUAAUCAUGAGUGGA